GACGUAGGAUGCGAGCGUUGUCCGGAUUUAUUGGGCGUAAAGAGUUCGUAGGCGGUUCAUUAAGUCUGGUGUUAAAGACCGGGGCUCAACCUCGGGAUCGCACUGGAUACUGGUGGACUGGAGUGCAGUAGAGGCAAGCGGAAUUCCCGGUGUAGCGGUGAAAUGCGCAGAUAUCGGGAGGAACACCGGUGGCGAAGGCGGUUCUCUGGGCCUUACCUGACGCUGAGGAGCGAAAGCGUGGGGAGCGAACAGG
rnacentral:rRNA from 1 species